CCUACGGGAGGCAGCAGUGGGGAAUUUUGGACAAUGGGCGAAAGCCUGAUCCAGCAAUGCCGCGUGCAGGAUGAAGGCCUUCGGGUUGUAAACUGCUUUUGUACGGAACGAAACGGUUCGCCUUAAUACGGUGGGCUAAUGACGGUACCGUAAGAAUAAGCACCGGCUAACUACGUGCCAGCAGCCGCGGUAAUACGUAGGGUGCGAGCGUUAAUCGGAAUUACUGGGCGUAAAGCGUGCGCAGGCGGUUAUAUAAGACAGAUGUGAAAUCCCCGGGCUCAACCUGGGACCUGCAUUUGUGACUGUAUAGCUAGAGUACGGUAGAGGGGGAUGGAAUUCCGCGUGUAGCAGUGAAAUGCGUAGAUAUGCGGAGGAACACCGAUGGCGAAGGCAAUCCCCUGGACCUGUACUGACGCUCAUGCACGAAAGCGUGGGGAGCAAACAGGAUUAGAUACCCUGGUAGUCCACGCCCUAAACGAUGUCAACUGGUUGUUGGGUCUUCACUGACUCAGUAACGAAGCUAACGCGUGAAGUUGACCGCCUGGGGAGUACGGCCGCAAGGUUGAAACUCAAAGGAUUGACGG
rnacentral:rRNA from 1 species